rnacentral:rRNA from 1 species
AGAUGGCGACCGGCGCACGGGUGAGUAACACGUAUCCAACCUGCCGAUAACUCGGGGAUAGCCUUUCGAAAGAAAGAUUAAUACCCGAUGGUAUAAUCAGACCGCAUGGUUUGAUUAUUAAAGAAUUUCGGUUAUCGAUGGGGAUGCGUUCCAUUAGGCAGUUGGUGAGGUAACGGCUCACCAAACCUUCGAUGGAUAGGGGUUCUGAGGGGAAGGUCCCCCACAUUGGAACUGAGACACGGUCCAA